rnacentral:rRNA from 1 species
CCUACGGGAGGCAGCAGUGAGGAAUAUUGGUCAAUGGGCGAAAGCCUGAACCAGCCAAGCCGCGUGAAGGAAGAAGGCUCUAUGGUUUGUAAACUUCUUUUGUACGGGAGUAAAGUGAGGCACGCGUAGCUUUAUGUAUGUACCAUAUGAAUAAGCACCGGCUAACUCCGGGCCAGCAGCCGCGGUUAUACGGAGGAUUCGAGGGUUAUCCGGAUUUAUUGGGGUUAAAGGGGUCGGUGGGGGUGAGAUAAGUUUGCGGGGAAAGUUUGUGGGUAAACCACAAGAUUGCCGUUGAAACUGGUUGGCUUGAGUGAAGUAGAGGUAGGCGGAAUGCGUGGUGUAGCGGUGAAAUGCAUAGAUAUCACGCAGAACACCGAUUGCGAAGGCAGCUUACUAGGCUUUAACUGACGCUGAGGCACGAAAGCGUGGGGAGCAAACAGGAUUAGAUACCCGAGUAGUC